rnacentral:piRNA from 1 species
UGAGAAAAUAGAUUUGAAUAAAUUCCCACA